CCCCAGCCUUCUGCAAGCCCCCCAGUUAUGCACAGGGCGAGACCUUUCCUGCAUAUCAAGCAGCCUUCACUGAACAGCCCACGUAGACUGGUUUAGGCCACCCACUCCCCGUAGCCAGACGUGUUUCUGCCAUCCCCUGGGAGUUGAGAAAAGCAGCAUAGACUGAAAUUGGGGUUCUCUGGCCAGUCUUCACAACAGGAACUGGGGAGGCCCUGAGUCAAAGGGUAAUCUGGGCCUCACUCCUGUGAGGGUUCAAUCUCGUGGAACAUGAGACUCCAGGAAAAUUCCACUAAGUGCACUGACGGUGCACUCAGCUGCAGAGGAGGCAGUGGACGAUCCUAAGUACCAAGGAAGACUUCCCAGGUUUGGGGGGACAGCCUGAGUCAGCUCCUGACAGGCCAGGAACCCCAAGCUCUGUCUGGAGCCUCAGGACGGGAGGCUCAGGAGCGGUCUUGCUUAACAGCCUGCACAGCUCCACCAGCUUUCACCCGCACCUACUUCUCUGGCACCAGCCUUUCUCUCUCCACUCUUGCCUUGGGCCCUAGUUUGCCCCUACUCUGAAACACUUAUAUCUCAGGUAUCUGUGUGGCUCACUUCUUGACAAUCCUUGGGUCUUAAAUACCACCUCUUCAGGGAAAUGUCCGCUUGCCCCUAUUUAAAAACAAUACUGCACCCCAAAACUUCCUUGCUUUCUUUUACUCCAUAGCAUUCCGUUGCCAUAUUGCCUGUCAGCCCCACUAAGUCCAAAAGGUAAGGGAUUUUUGUUUUGUGUGCCCUAGUACCUGGAACAAUGUUUGGCAUGCAGGAGACAAAAUAUUUGUUGAAGGAAUAGAUGAGUUAAGAUGUGAAAAAAAGUCCUUCAUUAGGCAAAGACCGGCUGUAAAUGAAUGUGUCAGAAGUAGGUGAUGUUCCCAUUCUGCACCAUCAGCCCGACCCACCCUAUGCUGGUAUUGUCGCCGACCAAUGAUGUUAGGUGCUCUUCUCGGCACAUGAUGUGUUACGUGUUGACUCAGUGACCGUCAGGUCAGUCCUGGGAGGUGGACGUCGUUUUCAUCCACAUUCUUGCACUGGGCUGCCCUCCACGAACCCGUGACUCGGCCUCCGCCCCUUCAGCACUGCCAGUGACCAGCCCUCAGCCUCCGUGCCAGCCCAGGCUCACCACCCGGACCUCGGCCCUAAUUUCUAAUCCACGCUCCACCCGUCAUCCCCUCCUAGGGCCAGACCUGGAACUGUUCCCACCCUGGAGGUCUGGUACAUCAGCAGUGCUCCUACAGACCAACACAUCCCAAGAGAGGCACGGCGUGGAAUGAGCAGAGAAGGGGAAGCCUGACUGUAAAGUAACUAGAAGACGUCCUGGUGGAUUGCAGGCGUCACACUUCUGGAAACAUUCCUCCUGGAGAGGGUGCGUCCCCCCUUGAAUCCGGCUGCCCUGGGAAUGCUGGGAACAAUGGAGUGUGCUGGAAGGGGUGCGAUGGUCCCCAGACUGGCCCAGUGACAGCUGAGCACUGUGAAGUGACCCCAGUGGAUGGGACACGGAGCUGAAGAAUCACCCUGCCGAGCUCUGCCCAAAAUCCUAACCCACAACAGCACAAGUUAUAAUAAAAUGGUUGCUUUAAACAA